rnacentral:misc_RNA from 1 species
GUGAUGGAAAAUUUUGAACCGUUGAUAGUCAUUGUAAGAUAUACAAGUGCGCAUCAUGUGAAAAAAUCUCUGCAAGUGUACUGUGUGUAGUGUCUGUACCUUAAAAUUCUUAAGGUGGAGUUUAGCCUAUACAGACAUAACUCAAUCUCUCCUUCCUUUAAACUUCAAAUAAUGAUUAUAGAUAAAGGCAAACAUCAUUGCUCUCUUUAUCACUAUAAAUGCAAAUGCCCAAACUCUCUCCAUUAAUUGUUUCUAUCCUUACAAAGUUGAAUUUCCAAAAACUAAGUGAUUGAUUUUCAGUAGUAAAAAAGGAAGAUCAACUGAUCGAUCGCAAGGGCAGAUGGGAGAGGAGGCAAUUAACAUGGGGGAAGACAUAGCUUUGUCAUCAGAGCCACACUUCGUGCUGGUGCAUGGAAUUAGUGGAGGGAGCUGGUGCUGGUACAAAAUCCGGUGUCUCAUGGAGAACUCAGGCUAUAAGGUCUCUUGUGUUGACCUCAAAGGUGCAGGCAUCGAUCAAGCAGAUGCCAAUUCUAUCCUUUCUUUUGAUGAUUACAAUAAGCCUCUCAUGGAUUUCAUGUCUUCCUUGCCUGAUAAUGAACAGGUGAUAUUGGUGGGGCAUAGCGCUGGAGGGUUAAGCAUAACACAGGCAACUCACAAGUUGGCAAAGAAGAUCCGACUAGCAGUGUAUUUAGCUGCCACCAUGCUCAAGUUGGGUUUCUGGACGCAUCAAGAUAUCCAAGAUGUAAUUUUCUUUUAGCUGUUUCGAUUGAAUUUUCCUUCUGAUGAGUUAAAUUUUGUUUUUAAUAAUCUUGUUUAAUUAAUUGAGUUAUAUAUAUUCUGGGGUACAUUAAUCCUAUCCUACCUUAUAACAGUUGAAGUAAUGGAGGUCUUUCUAUUCACAGUCAGUUUUGUUCUGUGCUGGUGAUGAGAGAGACUUAUAUGGCUGCCAACUGUCUUCAUGAAGUAUAUUGAUGGGUUGUUAGGCAUUAGCCAUUGGAGUUCACUGUGUAUAUACGUUACUGGUCCACAAGAAAACAGAUUAGAAUAGUAUAUAAAUAUAUAUUCCAUGAUCGAAAUGGAGUGGUUAUUGAAUAUAGCAUCAGCACCCACUUCACGUUAGAAGCUAGAUUUAAUGGUUUUUGUUUGAUUCCAUGCCAAGGCUAUUCUAGAUACCAGACGAACAUAAAAUUUAUUCAUAGAUCGCAGCUUCAAUAUUAAUUUGAAUACAUAUCAUGCACAUCCAUUGUACCUCCUUUGAUCGUUUGAGAGGAGAAAGGGAAAUUAUGAAUAAAGGUUAAUUAAUUGAUAAAUUAAAGUGAUGCUUAAUUAGUCCUGUAUAUAUGUGGAAAUUGACAGGGAAUUCCUGAUCUAUCCUCAUUUAGUGACGUGUAUGAGCUAGGAUUUGGAUUGGGAUGUGAUCAGCCUCCUACAAGUGCCAUCAUCAAGAAAGAAUUCCAACGCCAAAUCAUCUAUCAAAUGAGUCCACAAGAGGUAUACAUAUUGCAUAUAUAUACAUAUACUUGUAUAUAUUAUCAUCAUGCUUAAUUAUUUUAACUUUUUAUUGAAGCUAUAGCUAGUGUCAAUGAUAUGACGUGUAUGCUCCCCACAACCCUCCCUUCCUUUUUUAUGGGGGAAAAAGAUUUGCCAUGAUCUUUAUGCCUUUGUUGGGAAUCAGACAGUACUCUUUAAUUAUAUAGUCCUUCCAUUCCUGUUGCUUUUAUUGUUGAUGGCUCCUUUCAUCUUUAUUAUAAACAUGAUAUAUGUAGGAUUCGACCCUAGCUUCGAUGCUUUUGAGGCCAGGACCGAUCCUAGCAUUACAAUCAGCAAAGUUCAAGGAGGAGGAUGAGGAUGAUAAUGGCGUAGAUAAGGUGAAACGUGUGUACAUAAAGACAACGCAUGAUCAUGUCAUCAAACCUCAGCAACAAGAGGCAAUGAUAAAGAGGUGGCCACCAUCUCAGGUUUAUGUUUUGGAUAGUGAUCACAGCCCUUUUUUUUCUUCCCCGUUUGUGCUCUUUGGCUUGCUUGUAAAGGCAGCAGCUUCUGUCGGAUACAUAUAGGAGAUGACAGAAUCAGAAUCCCGUUCUUUGUUGGUGAGUGACUGAUUGAAUAAAAAGUAUAUGCAUCUACAAAAAUGUAACAUUAUUGAUUAUUCUUUCUGCCAAUAUUAUUCUGCUAGACAUUUGCCCAAGCAAUUUUUUUUUUAAAUUGUUAUUAUUAUAAUAUAAAAUUAUAGGGUG